CUACGGGAGGCUGCAGUGGGGAAUAUUGGACAAUGGGGGAAACCCUGAUCCAGCAAUGCCGCGUGUGUGAAGAAGGCCUGCGGGUUGUAAAGCACUUUCGAUUGGGAGGACUGCUUCUAGCACUAAUAUUGUUGGAAGUUGACGUUACCUUCAGAAGAAGCACCGGCUAACUCCGUGCCAGCAGCCGCGGUAAUACGGAGGGUACAAGCGUUAAUCGGAAUUACUGGGCGUAAAGCGCGCGUAGGCGGCUAGAUCAGUCGGGUGUGAAAGCCCCGGGCUUAACCUGGGAACUGCAUCCGAUACUGUCUAGCUGGAGUACAGGAGAGGAGAGUGGAAUUCCACAUGUAGCGGUGAAAUGCGUAGAUAUGUGGAGGAACACCAAUGGCGAAGGCAGCUCUCUGGCCUGAUACUGACGCUGAGGUGCGAAAGCGUGGGGAGCAAACAGGAUUAGAUACCCGAGUAGUC
rnacentral:rRNA from 1 species